rnacentral:rRNA from 1 species
AUUGAACGCUGGCGGCAGGCCUAACACAUGCAAGUCGAACGAGUGGCGGACGGGUGAGUCAUGUCUGGGAAACUGCCUGAUGGAGGGGGCUCACUACUGUACACUGUAGCUAAUACCGCAUACCAUCAGAUGUGCCCAGAUUGGCUUAGCUAUUUGGUGGGGUAACGGCUCACCAAGGCGACGAUCCCUCGCUGGUCUGAGAGGAUGACCAGCCACACUGGAACUGAGAAACGGUCCAGACUCCUACGGGAGGCAGCAGUGUGGAAUAUUGCACAAUGGGCGCAAGCCUGAUGCAGCCAUGCCGCGGGUGUGAAGAAGGCCUUCGGGUUGUAAAGUACGUUCAGCGGGGAGGCGUUACCCGCAGAAGAAGCAACGGCUAACUCCGUGCCAGCAGCCGCGGUAAUUC